GUGGGGAAUAUUGGACAAUGGGCGCAAGCCUGAUCCAGCCAUGCCGCGUGAGUGAUGAAGGCCUUAGGGUUGUAAAGCUCUUUCACCGAUGAAGAUAAUGACGGUAGUCGGAGAAGAAGCCCCGGCUAACUUCGUGCCAGCAGCCGCGGUAAUCCGAAGGGGGCUAGCGUUGUUCGGAUUUACUGGGCGUAAAGCGCACGUAGGCGGUUUGUGAAGUAAGGGGUGAAAUCCCGGAGCUCAACUCCGGAACUGCCUUUGAUACUGGCAAGCUAGAGUCCGGAAGAGGUAAGUGGAACUCCUAGUGUAGAGGUGGAAUUCGUAGAUAUUAGGAAGAACACCAGUGGCGAAGGCGGCUUACUGGUCCGGAACUGACGCUGAGGUGCGAAAGCGUGGGGAGCAAACAGGAUUAGAAACCCGAGUAGUCC
rnacentral:rRNA from 1 species